rnacentral:snRNA from 1 species
GUGCUCAAUUUGGCUGCACAUAUACUAAAAUUGGAAUGAUACAGAGAAGAUUAGCAUGGUCCCUGUGCAAGGAUGACAUGUAAAUUUGUGAAACAUUCCAUAUUAAA